CAGAAAGUGGAUCAUCUGCCUCUGGACUGUGGUUGAGAGCAGAAUUUUUAAAAGAUAAAAUGAAGCUGUAUCAAAUCUGUUCAGAAAGUAUGUAAGACCAGAGGACCAGAACUUCAAUAAAAAGCCAAGAAUAGCUGCCCAGUGGCCCCAGGAUGGGUAUGGAGGUAGCAUGGCAGUUAAGAGAUGCCCAGGACACAGAGAAAUCAUAUUCAGAGGAAUACCUCCUGAGCCAGCAGAAGAUGCACCAGAAAUCCAGCCUCCGCCUGGAAGUUCAAGCAGAGUCUUUGCCACUUUCCAAGAUUGGCUGUCUCUCUGCGGAUCCCUCAGUGUCCUUACAGGAGACAGGCACAGAGAGAUUUGACACAGACAGAAAAGAAGACAGUACGAACAUGGAGACAAGAGACUGGAAUGAUGCAGCCACAAGACAAGGGAUGCUGGCAGCCACCAGAAGCCAGAAGAGAGAAGGAACCGAGUCUCCCCUAGAGCUUCUGGAGGGAGCUUGGCCCUGCCCACAUCUUGAUUUUAGCCCAGUGAUACUGAUUGCAGACUUCUGGCUUCCAAAACACUGAGAAAAUAAAUUUCUAUUGUUGUGAGAUA